UCAUCCCCAUUUCUGCGCUUCGUCUUCUUCCCUAAACCGACAAUCCAUCCACAGUCCAGAAAUGGAGACGAAGCCAUAGAAAACCAAAAGAGCACCUCACUCCAUAAUCCACUGGUUCAACCCAGUCUUCUUCCCCAUUUCUGCCCUUCGUGGUCGUCUUCCUCGCAAAGCCAUAGACGACUACUCCGUACACAGAAAUGGAGACGAAGCCAUCAAAAACCAAACGCCCACUUCACUCUGUAAUUUCUAACACCAAAUUUAACUCCAAUCCGCACCUAAUUAGCUACAAUAAUCAUCGUAAACCAAUUAUUGCAGCCAUUCGUACCGUCUUCGACCUAUGUUGAAUCGAAAGAGAAAACUCAACAUCCAUGGCUAUACAUAGGCUGUCUACAUCACCUGGUCUAUGUACACCUGAGAGUGAAGGUGGGAAAAUAAGAGUUGAAAGCCACUCCAAAGAUUUGACGGUGUACAUGCAGAGCAAUCAUGAAGUCGAAAAGCUCCUCUCCAAAAAUCUCAAAAUCUAAGACAAAUUUGAUAAAGGUAAAUACAUUAUGAUAACAGUGUUGAUUCUUAUUGUAAUGUGUUCAACAUUUUAGAUCCUUUAAUUAUUCGAUCUUAUUUCGUCAAUUUAGGCCCCAAUUCUUUGUUUUAAUUAGUGUUUUUUUUUUUUUUGUAAAAUUUUGUUUGAAAUCUAUGUUCCAAUUUUGGGCAAUUUUAUUUAUAUGGCUUUUCAGCUGUUCUUUGAAUGGUUUAAAAACCAUAACCGUAUAGCUAUUAUACAGAUUUAUUAGAUUAGAUUCAAAAUUUUGCUUUCUGCUAAAAACCACAUAUUCUCUAUUUCUGACUUAGGGUUAAUUGUAUUUACCUGCAGAAUUUUUCCUAUUUGCAAUCGCUAAUACAAUUUUUUUUUUUUGUUUUGUGCGAGGAGGAGCUGGGUGAAUCGUUUGUGAAAGCAGAUAAGAGAAUGAUACAUAAGCAAGCUACAAACGUUACACAGAUAUUAGUUUCCAACUAACUUUUAUUUACUGCAUUUUGCUUUCUUUUGUUGCCUAUAAUGGUGGACUUGGUUAGUUUCUUCAUAGUAUUCCAGCUUGAUUUUGAACUUGAUGUGCAACAGUAUUUGAUUUUUUAGAGUGUUUGUAUUUGUUUGAUCAGAAUAGUAUGAGUUCCACUUGGUGUCAAAACAUUUUGAAUUGUAGUAGGAUUAAUAUGCUUGUAAUUAAAAAAAAAAAAAUGUUUGUAAUGGUGGACUUGGUUAGUUUCUUCAUCAUUGUGUCAGUGUAACUCAACAGUUUUAUCUCUUGUUCCCAAAAUAUGGCAAAUGAUUAAACAUAA